rnacentral:tRNA from 1 species
GGUGAGAUGGCCGAGUGGUUAUGGCGCUGCGUUCAGGAUUUUCUGCAUCAUCUCGAUUCAGAUUUGUUAAUGCUGAACAAAUUUCGCAGUGGAGCAAUUCGCGUGGGUUCGAGUCCCACUCUCAUCA